rnacentral:rRNA from 1 species
AUGUGCAGAUCUUCCACUCAAGCUUACCCUUGCUUUGCUGUGCACAGUCCACACCACAAAGCAAUGGCUCCGGGUUCAUCCGCUCUCGCUCUCAAGGCAGCCGCCAUCGCCGCCAUCCUCGCCAUUCUGGUCGUGCCUUCUCUGGGGCGCUGCGGUCACUCUCAAGUGCCAGCAACGCCACCGCCUCCGGCUCUUCCACCAUCACCACCAUCGCCACCUCCGGCACCGGCGUCGGAAACGAUGCUCUGCAAAGACUGUGCAGCCUCCGUCGCCUCGAUCUGCAGCUCUUCGUGCAACGGCGUUGCCGGUGUCUGCGGCAUCUGCAGUCGCGAGGACUGCAGCGGUGCAUGCAACAACGAAGCGGGCAGCAACUGCACCGGCAAUCCAUGCACCGGCAGCUGUGAGGUGUGCAACUAUGCAGCUCGAAGCUGCGACGCCUGUCGUGGCGCGAACGAGAGGAACUGCUUCGGUACCUGCAGCGAUGAGUGA